UUGUCCCCAGUUUGUCUCUCUCUGUGUUUGUGUGUAUGCUGGGCAUGGCAUCCUGGUUUCCCUCUCCCACUCUUCAACCAGUGCACCUGCAGCUGAUCAUCUAAUCAACUUAACAUGCCACUGCAGCAUAAAACCUCGGCUCAUCCAUCAAGACUCUGCCAGAUUGUUCAGUCUACCACACGGUUAACACUCCAGUCUGCCACCAUUGCCUGCCACGAACAGCUUCAUCUUUGUCAUCUACCUCUGGUUUUGGAUCCUCAACUCAUCGCCUGCCCUGCUCUGCUGAGAACCCCAUUCUCCAACCUGCCUACAACACAGAACCCCUCACCUGCUCCACUCCACUUGCUCCAUCUGCCACUCUUUGCCCCUCUCCUACACUGGACUCUGGUGAAAUCAACCAACUGUUUGCAAUAAACCCUUUCCUAAACCA